rnacentral:rRNA from 1 species
UACGAGGGAGGCAAAUGUUGUUCGGAAUCACUGGGCGUAAAGGGAGCGUAGGCGGGUUUCUAAGACAGGUGUUUAAUCCCGGGGCCCAACCCCGGACAGGCACUUGAAACUGGGAAUCUUGAAUAGUGGAGAGGUCAGUGGAAUUGGGGGUGUAGCGGUGGAAUGCGUAGAGAUCGGAAAGAACACCAACGGCGAAAGCACUCUGCUAGGCCGACACUGACACUGAGAGACGAAAGCUAGGGGAGCGAAUGGG